rnacentral:other from 1 species
CUAACCCUGGGGUGUUUGUCAGAGGACUAAGUCCCCGAGCCGAUAAGCAAUCCUUAAGGGUUAGUAUUUAGUCGCUAUUGAGCAUGCUCGGCUUGUACCGAGAAGCCUACGGUAACCAUUGCUGACCCGCCUUGAACGAACUGGUUCAAGGGUCAUUGUUCUCAACGGCAA